GAAUAACAUUUUGAUUUUUUAAUCGACGUUUCGAGCUAGUUUGUAGUCAGGAUUAUUCCUGAGGAUGACUAUAAACUAGUCGAAACGUCGAUUAAAAAAUCAAAAUGUUAU